GACAUGCCCGACGUUGUUUUUUCCAUCGAUUUACCUUCAAUUCGACGUCGAUUAUCGUCGACGCAAACAGUUUGACAGUUCUCUUCAGUUGAACUUGUUCGGACUUGAUUGCAACCGAGUCGAACAAAUUGUUGUUGGUUUUAGGCUUUGGGAGGAUUUUGGCCAGUUUAAAGAUUGCGGUCUUCGUGGCGGUAUAGGAGGAAGAGGAGGACGGGAAAUAUGAAUUACUCGGCGAGCCAUUCCGGAAGACGGGACGGGAAGGAACCAGUUUGCGAUCGAGGAAGCCGUUAGUGUUUGGUGUUUUACUUUCCGCGGGAGGUUGCCUCCAUAUCUAAUGGAACUGGCAACAAACAUAUUCUGAUCUGAUCCUGCCGGAAACCAUGCGUCCCCGUGUGGUCCCGCGUGGCUUCCGUAGAACCCAAGGAAGCAGCCUCUCGUACUCCGGUAAACAUCAAUCCGUCGGAGGUGCAAGAUCGUCGCCAAGGUGUCGCAUCCGGGUUUUGAUCAGCGCGUCGAGGAGCAAAAGUCCAACACGGCCAAGAUGCUGCCACGGCCGCCUCCAACAUCCAAGCCGGAAGCUGCGGUCAAGGCAAAUCCCGAAGGAAGCAAAGUUGGAGAAGAAUCGGCGAUCCGAAGUGAAAUUAAGU
rnacentral:lncRNA from 1 species